CCAGACUCCUACGGGAGGCAGCAGUGAGGAAUAUUGGUCAAUGGGCGGAAGCCUGAACCAGCCAAGUCGCGUGAGGGAUUAAGGCCCUAUGGGUCGUAAACCUCUUUUGUCAGGGAGCAAUGGCGUCCACGUGUGGGCGUAUGGAGAGUACCUGAAGAAAAAGCAUCGGCUAACUCCGUGCCAGCAGCCGCGGUAAUACGGGGGAUGCGAGCGUUAUCCGGAUUUAUUGGGUUUAAAGGGUGCGUAGGCGGCGCUUCAGGUCAGCGGUGAAAUACCGGGGCUCAACCCCGGGGCUGCCGUUGAAACCGGAGCGCUAGAAUUCCGAUGCCGUCGGAGGAAUGUGUGGUGUAGCGGUGAAAUGCAUAGAUAUCACACAGAACACCGAUUGCGAAGGCAUCUGACGAAUCGGAGAUUGACGCUGAUGCACGAAAGCGUGGGUAUCGAACAGGAUUAGAUACCCCGGUAGU
rnacentral:rRNA from 1 species